rnacentral:rRNA from 1 species
ACGGGAGGCAGCAGUCGGGAAUAUUGCGCAAUGGAGGGAACUCUGACGCAGUGACGCCGCGUAUAGGAAGAAGGUUUUCGGAUUGUAAACUAUUUUAGACAGGGAAGACAAUGACAGUACCUGUAGAAUAAGCUCCGGCUAACUACGUGCCAGCAGCCGCGGUAAUACAUAGGGAGCAAGCGUUAUCCGGAUUUAUUGGGUGUAAAGGGUGCGUAGACGGGAAAUCAAGUUAGUUGUGAAAGCCCUCGGCUUAACUGAGGAACUGCAACUAAAACUAAUUUUCUUGAGUGCAGGAGAGGAAAGCGGAAUUCCUAGUGUAGCGGUGAAAUGCGUAGAUAUUAGGAGGAACACCAGUGGCGAAGGCGGCUUUCUGGACUGUAACUGACGUUGAGGCACGAAAGUGUGGGGAGCAAACAGGAUUAGAUACCCUGGUA